GGGAGAUGUUGACCAUAGAGUUGCACUGGAUGACCUGGAUAUCCCUAGAGAGGUGUUCUCCUAGUUGAUAUGAUGAUAAAAGAGUCAAGGUGCUCCCCAAAGGUUGGACUUCACCCCCACUUUGCAGGAGAAGGUGCGGGAUCAGCAGAGAUGCAGAAGGAGAAUGUGCCAAGCAAGGGGAAUUGGGGACAAGGAACAGAAGGGAUGGAAUGUGGUGCGGGGGAAGAAAGAAGCAGAAUACUAUGCAGGAGAGAAAGGAGACACAAAACUGCACAUACCCAGCUCUCCAAACGGCUCUUCAUGGGACAUGGCUUUUAAAUGUUUCACCAUUGUAAUCACCCUCCUUUGGACACAGUCGUAAUGAACAUAAUUAUGAUGAUGAUGAUGAUGAUGAAAUAAAAGAUGAAAGUCAUAAAUGAAAUUGACUGUAUUGAACAAAAAGUGGAUAAAUGAACAAUAGGUGGAUAAAUUGCCCAGUGAAUCAUGGUAUGCGGAUUAGCAGAGAAGUAUGUGCCUGGUGGAAGGUUUGCUAUUAUUUACCAAGGACAGUUUUAUGUUUCUAUAUUUUUCAGCAUAGCCCCUUAUCAGAAAGACCUAGCCUGAAGGGCAGCAAGUUAUCUUUUACAGACUAGGGCACUUUACAGCUCUUUGGGGAGAAAUCUGGCUCUAAUCUGAGGAUUUGUGUAAUCUGAAAUGGCACAAGAAAAUGCCAUCAUGGAAAAGGAGAAAUCCAACAGGAAUCCAAACAGUUUUCAAUUACUUUUUAAAGCAGGAUUGCUCAUUUAAUUAGUUGUUUGUAAAUUGUUAUCUGGUUUUGCUUCCACCUAUGUUAUAAGUCACCUUGGGUAUCACUUUGGGGGAAAGCAGGAUAUAAAUAAAUACAUACAAUUUUGUGGAGAAAUUCACCUGGACCCAAACCUGGCUUUACUUUCAUGCAGUAUUAGAAGCAAGAUAAUAAUUUUCAUGGCAAGCAAAAACGUUGUUUAGGCAGGCUUUUUAAUAUAUAAUCAU